AUUUGGCGAGUGCUCCUAGAGAGAAGACACGUGGCUUUGGGCUUCCACUCACAAAAGCAACCCAAGUCUUUUGGAUCGGGACUACAGAGCGGCGUGGGAGCUGAAUGCUGAAGGAAGGCAGUUUUUUAAAAAACUUCUUCGAGUGCAAGAAGGACGAGACUGCGCAGGUGUGUGACGUCAACAGGACGGCGCGGAGAGUUUAAAAAGGAGACCACCCUAUACAGUGGGCAGCUGUCGGAGCGGGCAGCGGAGUGAGCGGUAGCAGAGUGUAGGGCUUUGAGUUCAACGGGCUUCAGCGGUAAACAGGAAGAGGUGAGAACGAAGCACCAACAUUUUUUUCUUCCCCCCCCCACUUCGCGAAUUGGCCCAGACAGACAGGAACAACAGGGCUCUCACAGCUAAUGGUACGAGCUAACGGUUUAAAAAGUUCAUCUGUUUGGCGAGCAACCCGUGUUUUGCAAACAUGUCUGACCAUGCAGUGUGGCGGUAUUUGAAGAGGUGUGAGAAGGAGGAGGAGGAAUCUAGGCCCAGGCCUAUGGACAAUUCUGAUAAGGUUAAUGAUGAAGAAUUGCAAUCUUCUGAGUCAUUUCACUGCACUAGUGCAACAACAGACACACAAAAAAAAAAUCCAUCUUUACAAUGAAAGCUUCUUAUCAAUGAGUUUUACGUGGACUGAUGAUCCAAGUUGUCCUAUUCCUUUAUGCCUAGUCUGGCAAACAACUUAAUGAUGCAGCAAUGGCUCCAGCAAAAUUGAAAAGGCACUUAACUACAAAUCACAGCCAUAUGACAUGUAAAGUGAUGAUUAUUUUAAACGACCAUUGGAAUCACAAAACAGAGUAAAGCUUCUGUUUAUAAAGUCAGUCAGUAAAAAGAACCAGAAAGCAAGUUAUUUAGUAGCAGAACUUAGUCCCCGUAAAAGGAAAAGUCACACUGUUGGUGAGAACCUAAUAAUGCCAGUAUGUAAAAUUAUAGUGGGCAAAAUGCUAGGACAAGAUGCAGUACGAGAAAUUGAAAAGGUUUCACUCUCAAAACAGUAUGAAAUUGAUGACGUCACAUGAUACAGAAGAGGUUUCGUGUGAUAAACUGAUAAACAUCAGCUUCUCCAUCCAAGUUGAGUCAACAAAUUUCACCAAUGAAUGUCAUUUGUAAGUGAUAGUGAAAUUCAAGAAAACAUUUUCUGUUGCAAAGAGCUGCCCCAAAUAAGACUAAGAUAUAUUUAAUGUUUUGUCUUCAUAUCUGGAAACAAAAGGUUUGUCUUGGAGGAACUGUGUUGGCAUCUGUACUGAUGGUGCUCCGUCAGUGGUUGGCUACAUGAGAGGUUUCAUUUCUCUGUGAAAAAAGAAAAUCCUGACGUUGUCACAACACACUGCUUUCUUUGCAGAGAAGAGCUGAUGUAAAAAACUUGGAUAUAAAAUGAAAAACGUUCUGGAUGAAUGUUUAAAAAAGCUCUGAAAACCUGGACAUGAGCACACCAAUCUCCUACCACAUACAGAAAUCUGGUAGUUUAGCAAAGGAAGAGUUCUCAACGGAAACAACAGGAAUUCUGCAGAUGCUGGAAAUUCAAGCAACAUACAUCAAAGUUGCUGGUGAACGCAGCAGGCCAAGCAGCAUCUAUAGGAAGAGGCGCAGUCGACGUUUCAGGCCGAGACCCUUCGUCAGGACUCAACGUCAGUUCUCAACGGGGUGUUUUGAGCUGAAAAGUGAAUUGCAGGAGAACUUUCAAGAAAAUUAUAGGCCAGAUUUUGCUGAGUGAUUUUAAAGUGAAGAAUGGCUGCAGAAAUACCCUACUUAGCAGACGUUUUUCGUCAUAUAAACAAGUGACAAGAUUCUUGGAUUUAAAAAGAAAUUGAAUCUUUGGGAAAAUCAUAUUGCAAAAGGAAAUUUUGAAAUGGUUCCACUGUUGCUUGGGCUUGAGACUGAGGAAAGAUAUCAGAAAGUCUCGAAUCUUAUUGCAAACCACCUGGAAGAACUGCAGAACAAAAUUGACAGUAGUUUUCCUCCCUUUCAACACAAGUGUAUGACUAGCAAAGGGAUCCUUUUUCUGAAUCACCUGCUCAACCUGAGGACUUAACUUUGAGAGAAGGGAAAGAACUUAGUGUGCUACGCACUGAUCAUGCACUGAAGAUUCACUGAUCUGUCCCUGGACAAGUUCCGGAUUUCUGCGAAAGAAGAGUAUCCUGCUACUCAUAGGAAAGCAACCAACAUUUUGCUUCAGUGCUAAACCUAUAUUUGAGCCUGAUCAUGUCACUGAGUAAGAAAAUGCUUUUCAAAGACGUGUAUAAAAUUGUGCCUUAAAGCUAUAUUUUUAUUUAUAUUGCCUUGGCUUAUGGUUUUUAGUAACUUUACUAUACAACAUUGUCAGUAAAUUUUCAUGUUGUAACUAUUAAUCAGUUUACAAUUUUUAUUUAAAUUACAUCUUCCGAACCUACCUUUAAGAAAAUUAAACCCCAUUUUGGUUUAAGCCAGUUGCUUAACAGAUUUUUUUUAAUGUUUGUCUUAUGAGUUUUAAAAAAUUAUGAAAGGGAAAGAAAAAGAUUAAUUUCAAGAAAGCUUAACUACCUGUUUUUUUCAAGAAAGGUUGGCUAAAAAUUUAUUCUCUACUCAAAAGAGCAUUGACAAUUAUUUUUGGAUUAUUAUAUCUACAACUUACUGAUCACACUAACAUACUGUGAGCUGUAGAUAUAAUUUUUAUGCAGGGAUUCCCUGAGACCCGAAAAUUAUUUCAAGGGUUCCUCCAGGGCAAAAAGGUUGAGAAAAGCUGUGCUAAUAUGAGAAAAAUUAUUCUGCUUUAAAUGUUUAUUUGACUUUAAACCUAGCUUAAACGGUACAGCAGCUUCAGUAUCAAUGUGGUUUUUAGCAAGAGUUGAAAUAUGUGAUUCAAGUUGUGACAGCAAAAGCCUUGAUUCCCUAUGUGUAACAAUGCCCAAGUGGGUUCUGUUUUUUUGUGAGUAUGUAGUUCACUGCACUGAAGCCUCUUUCAAGAAGGUAGAAGGAUGGAAAUGCAAUGAAGAGCAGUUAGGCUCUUCUCCAAAGACCGGGAAACUUUGUAUGACAGUGUAGCCACAUACCACAAAACCAACAUUUUUGAAAAGUAUUUUUGCUCCUUCAUCAAUCUGAAUUUUGUUAAUUACUUCUUACAAGCUCUCUUCCUGUUCUUCCACCUUGCAAAAAAAUGGUUUAAUUCCCCAGUCCAGAAUUUCCAGAUCGUUCAAAUCCUUGAAUAGGUUCUGAAAAUCCGCUUCAGUGACUGCAGGUGUAAACAGUACUCUUGCAACUCACCCCCUGUGAAAGAGAGUGCCAUACUUUCUGUGCAGGGAAACACUGAGAACAUUCUUCUCCCAAUGUUUUACUUAUAUAUUUCUAAUUUUCUGAUAAAAGUUGACACUGCACUUUUUGCCUGGAUUAAAUUGAAAUUCUCACCCUACAGUUUCAAAUUUAGGAUGUUCAUUUUGUCAUACAGAUUGGCUGGGUGUGCCACAUCUCCACGUAAAAGUUCAAUCUUGUUUCCUAAACUCUUGUUGACUUUGAGCAAAAAUCCAACCACGGUGUCAAAAAGAUCAAAGAAACGUUUUAAGCAGCAGCCUUUCAACAGCCAACGCACUUCAAUGUGAAGAAGCAAGCGUUCAAUCUCUUGUUACAUACCUCGUGGGUAUCUUGUGACUGUCUUAUGACCAUGACCUAAUUGAGUAUCUAGUGAGCAUGAUUUAAUGGUCUUGUGAUGGUGGGGGUGAUGUAAUUGUCCCACCAGUGUGAGGUUACGUGAUGACAUGCAGGUAUAUAAUGGGAAACCCCUGUUGUUACCAUUUUAAGACUGUGGUCGAAUUUACCACUUUAAGAACUGUUCCAGAGUUGUUGUAUAGCAGUUAACUUCCGGUUAAGUUAUUCGUUUGAAUGCUUUUUGCUAUUGUUGAGCAGAGUUUAAUAACUGUUUAUGUUUGUUUAUAAAACUUGACUCAAUUAUAUAUUUAUUGUUGCUGGACACGUGACACUCUUCAUCGUUAUCAUGCAUAACUAGAUAAAUAUUCUGCUAUUUAAUGGAAGAGCUUUAAUUUUGUUGAUAGAUAUAUAUUACUAGAGUCAUGCUUCAAAAAUGUUGCUGGCUGAGG